AUGCAAGUGAUUUACAUAUUUUUCCCUAUCUGGUCAGCAGCUUCUGUAGAUAUCAAUAACUAAGGUUUACACAGGCCUUUGACUUUUAUCCAGGCCCCAUGGUGUACAAAAUGAUUGUUUCAUAACUCUUCCUCUUUGCUUGAUUUGUAAUUAGGAUGGAGGUGUAUUCAUAAUUUGAUAAAGAAGCAAUUGGAAAGAAGGAAGGAAGGAAGGAAGGAAGGAAGGAAGGAAGGAAGGAAGGAAGGAAGGAAGUCAACAUCUCAUUCUUUCUCCCUCUGGGUCUGUUUGUGUGUGUGUGUGUGUGUGUGUGAGAGAGAGAGAGAGAGAGAGAGAGAGAGAUCAGGUGUUUGGUUUGAUUAGAGAAAAACAGCAUCAUUGGGAAUGGUGAGAUAUGGACGAAAGGAAAAAAUAAAUAAAUCAGUAUGGAGGAAGCGCAGAAAGAUAGAGGGGAAAGUGGCAUCCAGACGCAAAUACAUUUGCACAUAUGAAGCUGUUCUAAUGAGAGCCAAAUUGAUUUGACAUUCAGUGGCAGUUUCAAGCCAAGAAAAGCAAAGCAGCCUACAAAAGGCCCAGCUCAUUGUUUAUGGAGUGUCAUACUGCAUCAUCUGUGAGACCAAUAACAGUGAUGGGAAGACCUUUAAAAGCGAGGAAUAUGCAGGAGAUGGUUGUGUGGCUACUACGGAUGUCAGAACCAAUAGACAGGCUUCAAUAAUACUUGGCUCUUCUUCAACCGGGAAAUCAAGCACUUUGAAUUGGGCCCAGGCAGCAACUGGUAGCCAAUGUAAUUUAAACAGAAUUGGCUUGAUGUGUUCCCUAGCGGUGCCACCACUCACCAGCCACGCAGCUCAAUUCUGGACAAGUUGCAGUCGCCAGAUCAUUUUCAAAGGCCGCCCCACAGAUUGCAGUAAUCUAAUGUGAGAUGUUACCAGUGUGUGUGUGUAACUGUCAUGAGACUCCGCUGCCCUCAGACUAUGGAACGCCCUCCCCAUUGAGAUUCGUCUGGCGCUGAUGUUGAUGACAUUUUGGCGCCAGGUCAAAAUCUUCCUGUUCCAGAAGGCUUUUAAUUGAAAUAAUAUCAACUGUGGGUCCUGAUGGCAAUUUUUAGAAUAUAUAUUUUUAAUUGUAUUUUAAUUGUUUUAUCUCUUUUUUAUUGUAUUUUAAUUGUUGUAAGCUGCCCAGAGACCUUUGGGUAGUGUGGGCGGCAUAUAAGUUAAAUAAAUAAUUAAAUAAUAUAUGGAGACUGUAAUGU
rnacentral:lncRNA from 1 species